rnacentral:rRNA from 1 species
GUGGACGCAUCACUGGUGUUCGGGUUGUCAUGCCAAUGGCACUGCCCGGUAGCUAAAUGCGGAAGAGAUAAGUGCUGAAAGCAUCUAAGCACGAAACUUGCCCCGAGAUGAGUUCUCCCUGACUCCUUGAGAGUCCUGAAGGAACGUUGAAGACGACGACGUUGAUAGGCCGGGUGUGUAAGCGCAGCGAUGCGUUGAGCUAACCGGUACUAAUGAACCGUGAGGCUUAACCUU